rnacentral:rRNA from 1 species
AAACUUAAAGGAAGUUGACGGGGCCCGGCACAAGCGGUGGAGUAUGUGGUUAAUUCGAUGCAACGCGAAGAACCUUACCUGGUCUUGACAUCCCGGAGACCCUUAGGAAACUAGGGGGUGCUUCCAUCUGGAAGAAUCUGGAGACAGGUGCUGCAUGGCUGUCGUCAGCUCGUGUCGUGAGAUGUUGGGUUAAGUCCCGCAACGAGCGCAACCCUUGCCUUUAGUUGCCAGCAGUUCGGCUGGGCACUCUAAAGGGACUGCCGGUGUUAAACCGGAGGAAGGUGGGGAUGACGUCAAGUCCUCAUGGCCUUUAUGACCAGGGCUACACACGUACUACAAUGGCCGAUACAAAGGGCAGCGACACUGCGAGGUGAAGCCAAUCCCGUAAAAUCGGUCUCAGUCCGGAUUGGAGUCUGCAACUCGACUCCAUGAAGUUGGAAUCGCUAGUAAUCGUGGAUCAGCAUGCCACGGUGAAUACGUUCCCGGGCCUU